UACGAAGGGGGCUAGCGUUGCUCGGAAUCACUGGGCGUAAAGGGUGCGUAGGCGGGUCUUUAAGUCAGGGGUGAAAUCCUGGAGCUCAACUCCAGAACUGCCUUUGAUACUGAGGAUCUUGAGUUCGGGAGAGGUGAGUGGAACUGCGAGUGUAGAGGUGAAAUUCGUAGAUAUUCGCAAGAACACCAGUGGCGAAGGCGGCUCACUGGCCCGAUACUGACGCUGAGGCACGAAAGCGUGGGAG
rnacentral:rRNA from 1 species